rnacentral:rRNA from 1 species
UACAGAGGUCUCAAGCGUUGUUCGGAUUCAUUGGGCGUAAAGGGUGCGUAGGCGGCGCGGUAAGUCGGGUGUGAAAUCUUGGAGCUUAACUCCGAAACUGCAUUCGAUACUGCCGUGCUUGAGGACUGGAGAGGAGACUGGAAUUUACGGUGUAGCGGUGAAAUGCGUAGAGAUCCGGAGGAACCCCAGAGGCGAAGGCGGCGCCCUGGCUCGCAACUGACGCUCAGACACGACAGCAUGGGGAGCGAACGGG